UAGGGAAUCUUCCGCAAUGGGCGAAAGCUUGACGGAGCAACGCCGCGUGAGUGAUGAAGUUCUUCGGAUCGUAAAACUCUGUUAUUAGGGAAGAACAAAUGUGUAAGUAACUAUGCACGUCUUGACGGUACCUAAUCAGAAAGCCACGGCUAACUACGUGCCAGCAGCCGCGGUAAUACGUAGGUGGCAAGCGUUAUCCGGAAUUAUUGGGCGUAAAGCGCGCGUAGGCGGUUUUUUAAGUCUGAUGUGAAAGCCCACGGCUCAACCGUGGAGGUUCAUUGGAAACUGUAAAACUCGAGUGCAGAAGAGGAAAGUGGAAUUCCAUGUGUAGCGGUGAAAUGCGCAGAGAUAUGGAGGAACACCGGUGGCGAAGGGGACUUUCUGGUCUAUAACAGACACUGAUGUGCGAAAGCGUGCGGAUCAAACAGG
rnacentral:rRNA from 1 species